rnacentral:rRNA from 1 species
UACGGAGGGUGCAAGCGUUGUCCGGAUUUAUUGGGUUUAAAGGGUGCGUAGGCGGCAGAUUAAGUCAGCGGUGAAAUUCCACAGCUCAACUGUGGAACUGCCAUUGAUACUGGUUUGCUUGAGUACAGAUGAGGUAGGCGGAAUUGACAGUGUAGCGGUGAAAUGCUUAGAUAUUGUCAAGAACACCUAUUGCGAAGGCAGCUUACUAAGCUGUAACUGACGCUGAGGCACGAAAGCGUGGGGAUCAAAC